CCACCGUGGAGUGCCAUCCCAUAAUACCACCCCUUCUUAGCUUCUUAUUGUACGUUACCAUUAAUAUUUCAGUAAUAUUCGUUAAGGAACAGGGAUUGUUCAUCGUGCAACACCUAAAGCACGGCACUGCUGACAGCUUUGCUGACGAUGCCAGAAGUAGGAUAGUUUAGCUAGUCAGCACGACACAGCAGGUUGUUACCUAUGGUAGAUUUCCCCAAGGCUCUCCACACAUAAUACACUGGGCUCCUGUCCCAUCUCUUACCCACCUGGGGGAUGAGACAGCAGUCACCGAGCGCUAGUGCGCCCCCCACUUAUUGGCUGUCUAGGUGAAGAGGUCAGUGUCAGUUGCACAUAUCUUCUUUUCGCCCCGUAAAACUUACCAAUGAAAAUUGAUUGGUCAUAAACCUGGAUGUCAGGUCCGUGAGGAGGGAGAGCUGACUCACGGGUAGGGGGACUCUUUUCGGCUCGGGAGUUAUGGCACAGAGUUCCACAAGAGACGCCGCCGCCGCCAGCCAUUGAUCGCUGCCGGCCGCAGGGCGUAUCGGGUGACAGCUGAUGGGCUUAUCGGGACUCUCCCAACAGAGUAGGGUGCCCUUUUGAGUGGAAGAUAAAUGGAUGAAAAGGGAUUUAAUGAGGAAUUUAGCAUGAUGGCUAAACAUCUGCAGGGACGACUGUCGGGUUUAAGAAGAAGAAGAGAAGGGAAUUAAAGGGUUUAGUGAAGACUUUAACGAUGACCGAACAGUCUGACUACAGACUCUGCAGAUUGGAGAGGAGGGUGAAGGGUUUGGUGAGGACUGGUAUGAUGGCCUAAUGGCUGUGUCUGAUUGCAUUGUCAUGAUUAGCUGUAACUCCAUCCAGAUUCGAUACUCCAAGCCGACCCAUUAAGAGGGGAACGAGAGCUAACAGGGCCAGGACAAAACAGUGACUUUCUCCAAACACACUGCAAAUGCAUACCGAAGUCUCAGCCAACAUCCGUAUUAUAAAUCACAGAACAACAAUGGGAUUGCAAACACAGUGGCUUAAAAAUAACACAUAAGCAUGGGGAUUAAUGCCUUGGGACCCGUAAGACUGAGGGGGGAAAGUGGGCGCCUGACUGAAGCAGAAAAGUAUUUGCUGUCUUGCAUUGUGUACAGAGCAGAAAAUGUAACGUCUUAUUUUCGUAACAAUCACACAUUUUAUUUUCUCAUAAGCCAUUCUGCUCAACUGGCACUUUAAAUAAAUGAUUGGUUGUAUAUAUUUUUAAAAACAUUUGAAUUUGCGUUUUUUUACCAAUCGGUACCUUACUGCUUACCAUUCAAAAGGUAAGAUACAUGGACCAUGUCCAUAAAACUGAGCUUAUAUUCUAGUGUCCAUAUAUUCUAGUGUCCAUAUAUUGUAGUGUCCAUAUUUUCUAGUGUCUAUAUAUUCUAGUCAGUUUAACUUCCAAAGGCUGGCUGCACCUGUGACAGAUACAAAAGCGGCGUUUGAUUUCUGCCUUUGAGGUUUGGAAGCCUGCCACUCAUCUCAGGUUAUUGUUGUAGGUGUUAAUUUGGAUAAGUGGCUGACAGUUACCCACCUGGUCAUGCUUUCUGCUGCUGCAUUCAACACAUUGCUUAUCAGUCAGAGAAUUCAUCCUGAUGUUAAUAAACACACACCACAGAACACACACUAAAACACACGCACACACGCACACACACACACACACCAUCAACAGUAUUAUGCAACACAUACACACUCCCACAAGUGCACAUACCUAUCACCUCUAUGACUAACCAAAAGUGAAUUUUGUGAAUUUGUCCAUGGCAGUAAAAUGGUCAGCCUGAACUGCAUUUCCCUAAAGCCCUAUAGUGCUCUGACCACCAUUAAACAAUAGUGAUGCUUUCAUUUUCAGAUCUCUCUUUCAGUCAUGAGGUCACAACUAGGGCUGAACGAUUAAUUGCAUUUGCGAUUUAAUCGCGAUAUGAUAGAACGCGAUUUUCUAACCGCAACGUUCGCGAUUAAAAAACGUGGUCUAAAAAAAAAAAAAAAAAAUGUUUUUUUUUUUUUUUUUUUUAAGAUGGUAAAUUUUGCACACAGUGUUUAAAAAGUGCAUGCCUAGUGUUUAUACUUAAAAUUACUUUUUUUAAAUUACUUAAAUGCACAGUGGCAAAGCCACCUAUUUGUUGUUCUUGUUUCUGUAAUGAGCAGUUAAAUAAAAAUGUAAAAUGUGGGAAAGAAUAUUUUACACUAAAUGUAUCUAAUAUUGUGUUGGUCAUAUUUAAAUCAUUCAUUACGUUUUGUUGGGAAAAAAAGAGGAUACAAAAAAAAAUCGCAUAUUAAAUCGCAAUCGCAAUAUUUUGGUAAAAAAUCGCAAUUAGAUUAUUUUCCCAAAUCGUUCAGCCCUAGUCACAACACAGGGAAGCACCCUUCACGCAGUGGGUCAGGUUACUAUGAGGUUACAUGCUGCUGCGGAUUAGGCCGAGGGCCUGUGAGCUGGGCCGGAGCGGCUCUGUUAGUGGCUCGCUGUGGGGGUUUCUGGGAGUUAAUGUUUAAACCCUGUGCCGUGUCUGCAGGUUGUCCCAGACUGUGAUCCUGUAAUCUUAGUUGGAAUGUCCAGCGGGGGCCUCGCCGGAACUCUGUCGCGCCGACGCUUUUUCCCAGGCUCUCUGGUGUCCCCGGAACCCGAUAGGCCGCCUGCCACUCGGCGUAUGCACACACACACACACACACAAAUGUACACACACAAAUGUACACACGCACACACGCACAAAAUACUCAGGUGCACACGUACGUAACUGAAGUUUGGAUCUGAAACCCACACACACACAGUGCGAUGAGAUGAGAUGAUGGAAAAGUGCUCACACUGUCUCCAGGGUUUCCCCAGGC
ensembl:lncRNA